rnacentral:rRNA from 1 species
UGCAAGUCGAACGGCAGCACGGGAGCUUGCUCCUGGUGGCGAGUGGCGAACGGGUGAGUAAUAUAUCGGAAACGUAUCCAAUAAUGGGGGAUAACUAAUCGAAAGGUUGGCUAAUACCGCAUACGCCCUGAGGGGGAAAGCUGGGGAACUUCGGACCUAGCGUUAAUGGAGCGGCCGAUAUCUGAUUAGCUAGUUGGUGGGGUAAAGGCCCACCAAGGCGACGAAUCAGUAGCUGGUCUGAGAGGACGACCAGCCACACUGGAACUGAGACACGGUCCAGACUCCUACGGGAGGCAGCAGUGGGGAAUUUUGGACAAUGGGCGCAAGCCUGAUCCAGCCAUUCCGCGUGAGUGAAGAAGGCCUUCGGGUUGUAAAGCUCUUUCGCAAGGGAAGAAACGAUUUAGGUGAAUAAUCUAAGUUAAUGACGGUACCUUGAUAAGAAGCACCGGCUAACUACGUGCCAGCAGCCGCGGUAAUACGUAGGGUGCGAGCGUUAAUCGGAAUUACUGGGCGUAAAGCGUGCGCAGGCUGUUUUGUAAGUCAGAUGUGAAAUCCCCGAGCUCAACUUGGGAACUGCGUUUGAAACUACAAGACUAGAAUAUGUCA